rnacentral:rRNA from 1 species
UACAGAGGGUGCGAGCGUUGUCCGGAAUCACUGGGCGUAAAGGGCGCGUAGGUGGUGACCUAAGCGUGCGGUGAAAGCCCGAGGCUCAACCUCGGGUCGGCCGUGCGAACUGGGUCACUGGAGCAGAAUAGAGGCAGGUGGAAUUCCGGGUGUAGCGGUGGAAUGCGUAGAGAUCCGGAAGAACAUCGGUGGCGAAAGCGCUCUACUGGACGGUGACUGACACUCAGGGACGAAAGCUAGGGGAGCGAAUGGG